GAACUAACAAAAAAAGUUAGUGCUAUGAAUAGUCUCUUCAUUUAUAUGGUGAAAUAUGUAAUAUUUUGAAAUGUCAACUACUUUUUUAUCAGCUUUUUAUCAGCAUCGCCUGUGUGGCCAAGUCCGUUAUUGGAUGUACUUUGUAGAAUUUAGUCAGAUUAGUAGACAAAAUAAGACUAGAUGAGAUUGAUUCAUUAAUUUUAGCUGGAAUUUCUGAUAAAACAGUCGACCCAAGAUUGCAUGCAGUAACUACUGCAUGCAAUCUUGGGUCCCAAGCAAAUAGACCUUGGAAAGUUUUCAACUAUAACUCAUCCUGUAUGUUUGACUGAAAAUGUUCAAAGCGAUACCCAAGAGUUUAUUUACGCACCACAAAACAAAACAAAAGAUAUAAUUGAUCAGAAUUGUAUGAUAACUGUGUAUUUUUCAAUAACAAAUUGAAAAUCUAUGAAUAGCCAGUAUUUAAAGAAAACUGUGUUUUAAAAGCAUGAAAUCAUAACGGUUAUAGAGAUGAAGAAUAUAUGAUCACUAUAUUUAUCAAAACGACCACACCUAAAUGCAAAAUCAAGGGUCAUAUGAGCAGGGGAAAAUCAUGUUCCGUGAAGGAAACCACGGUGUAACGAACGGCAUUUGAAAUGUGUUGGUGUAGGAGUGCAGGGUAUCAAACGAUUCCGGAGUGACUGCACCCAGCAUCGCAAACACACCUCGCGCAAAUUGGUUGCAGACUACGGACAAGGAUACAUACAAUUUAUGAUAAUUGAAAUAGUUAGAUAGAUAAGAUUGUGGUUUUCAGAUUGAAUGACUGAGAAUAAUGUUUAAAAAACAGAACAGCUUCGAUCUCAGUAUCUCCAAAGUUAGUUAAAUAUUUAGUAGUAAACUACAUAUUUAUGUAGUAGUCUAUCCUUAAAGGUUUUUUAAAACUUUUAAAUGUUAAAAUAAAUGAAUUUGAAUAUUGGUUAAGCAAUAAUUUAUAUGAAGUGGUAGUAUAAGUAGUAUAGUGAUUAAAAUUUGGAAUCUAUGUUAUGUCUCCAAUGGGAUUCUAAAGAAAUUUUCUUUGACUUGUAGAAAAAAAAUUAAUCAAUAAAAACGAGAGUGUCUGGAUCUCAAACAAACUGUCAAAAGUUUUCAUUGAAGGUUUUUAAUAAAUAAAUGUAAAAUUAAGUAAAUUUUACUGAAUUCAAAAAUGUCACCUGAAUAAUAAAUUUCUUGCCUAAGCAAUCAAAUUCAAAUGAUUAGCCUUUUUAAUGUACAUGAUAAAUUUUAUUUUUUAUUUCAGCUAACAGGUUACGAGUAAAGUUAACGCCUUUUUUUAUCGUUACAAAAGCCGUUCAAUUAUCUAAAAGUCUUAGAAAGUGGUCAUCGUAUUACAUUAUUUCCCAACCGACUCGCACCUCCAUUGCUGUAAUUACACUCUAACACAAUUACCCUAAAAGCCUGUCACUGGAGAGAAAUUUAAUGAACUUUGUAAUAGAUUGAAUUGUCUUAAAAUUAAUCUGCCUUUCACCUUUUUUCUUCAAGGAUGCGAAUCUUGGUAAAUGUCUAUUAUAUUCUAUCCUUGACCAUUUUUAUUGAAUUAUCGUGUAAAAUAUGAAUAUAUCAUAUAUUGUU